rnacentral:misc_RNA from 1 species
CUCAUCCUGAUACACCUGUUAACACUUCAAAAAAUGGCACUUUGUCAUUCAACUGUUUUACGUACAAAGUCAUUCAACUGUUUUACGUACAAACUCUUUCGUCACAAUCAGAGAAUUGCAUGAGGCAGACCUCAUGCCACGUACAUUGCGGCCAAGCUUCCAGAUUUAUGAAGUGUUAACAGGUGUAUCAGGAUGAGCACCCCAUUCAGUCCAUGAUCCAUCAUAGACUGCAACAUCUUGCUUCCCAAGUCGAUGCAGACCCAAAGCAAGUAUGCAAGCAGUUACACCAGUCCCACAUGAAGUAACAACAGCGCUUUCCAGAGAGAUGCCCCCUUGAUCAAAUCGUUUCUUAAGUUCAUCAGCUGAUAAGAGGGUCUGUGAAGCAUCUAACAUAUGGGGAAAAGGAAUGCACUUGCUGCCAGGUACAUGACCGCUUCUUAUUCCCUUUCGAGGCUCUGGUGCAGUUCCAUCAAAUCUGGCCUUUGAGCGGGCAUCUAUGUGUUGGUGAGACUUUUCCUCAAUGUUUUUCUUAACCUGCUCAAGAGUCCAAAUAAGAUGUGGCUGAAACUUUGUCUGAAAUGUGAUUGGUCCAAUUGCCUGGCCUUGAUAUACUUUCUCUAUUGCCUCACUGGCAGCACUAGCUUUCAAGAUGGCAUCACCAGAAGCACUAGAUUCAACAUCAUAACCUGAUGCACGCCAUCUUGGCAGGCCUCCAUCUAACACCCAAACUUUGUCAUGCCCAAAUACUCGAAACAUCCACCAGACACGAGCUGCACUAAAGAUUCCCUUGCCAUCAUAAACAACCAAUCCAUCCUUAUUCUCAAUUCCAAGAGCAGAAACAGCAGCUGCAAAAGCUUCCUCAGAGGGCAACAUAUGUGGCAAAUUUGUUGAUCGAUCUGAUAUCCCAUCUACAUCAAAGAAAAGGGCACCAGGAAUGUGAGCAACCUGAUACUCUUGAAUUGGAUUCCUCUUUUCAUCUGGCAUAUACCAUGAAGCAUCCAACACCUUCAUAUCAGGCUCCGUGAGAUUUGCAUGAAGCCAAUCAACAGAUACAACGGGUUCAUUGGUAGAUAAAGAUUGUGCAGAAAAAAGAGCUUUUGAACCAAUCACAGAGGAAGCCAUGACUCGAGGAGCACGACCAGAUGUCUUAUAUGAUGCAUAGACAGGAUCAGCUCGUAUGUGAAAUGGUCUCUUAUUAAAGAGAGAGGUAAAGAUUUGGGUUUUGCGUGAGGAUGAGAGCGCCGAGUGAAUCAAGCGGGAACCCAAUAGAGUCCUGGUGAAAGCUGAUGAUGCCAUUUACUCAAAGAUCAUAGAAAAUAGAUGUGAGGCUAUUUGGUGUGCCAGGUUGUUCAAGAGAAUGAAGCCAAAGGGCAAAAAACUUGAUGAUAGCGAGUGCAGCUUAGUGCUAAGUGAUGAAAUGCUAUACCUUCGAAACGUUUCAGGCCCCUUUUUUUUACCGUUUUUUGUUUUUCGUUUCCGGGCUU